UGGGAUACCUCAAAUUGCUACUUCUGCCUUUUCUUCAGUUUUCAUAGCUUGUGAAAAACAUUAUUCGGAUAAAAUAUUCGAACACGGUAUCCCUUCUUGACGAUGAGAAAGUAAACCACUUGAUUUGAAGCACCCUCAUCAGAUCAUCCACCCAGCGUUGGCGACUUACUAUUUACCACUCUCACAUGGUCAAAAGUAGAAAUAUAACCAAAUCACGCAAACCGAAAGAGGCUUUAGACUUAAGAAUUGGGAAGAGGCCGCGCAAACACAGGCCUCCACUGCCACAAAUUAUGACAUAGGCUCGACCACUUGGGCCGACCUUAGGCGGGCACCCCUCCUAAGUGCAAUAGAGGUCACCAACCUAGGCCAUGGACCUUCUUGAUCGCCCAUUGACCCAGUCCAGGUAAGUGAGUAACCCAAAGGCCUCUUCUCCUUUUUGUAUCACACCACCUACCCUUGCUUCUUUCUAUACACCGAUGUGGGAUACCCUCAUAUUUGCUAUUUCUGUUCUUCUUCAGUUUUCACAACUUGUGAAACAUUAGUUAAGUACCGGUUAUCCUAAUUAUAUCGAAAAUGUAUCGAAAAUGACGUUAUGAAAUAUACUGGUUAUCCUGAUUAUGAAA